rnacentral:rRNA from 1 species
GAUGAACGCUAGCGGCAGGCCUAAUACAUGCAAGUCGGACGGGAUUCAGGAGCUUGCUUCUGCUGAGAGUGGCGCACGGGUGCGUAACACGUAUGUAACCUACCUUUAUCAGGGGGAUAGCCUCUCGAAAGAGAGAUUAAGCCCGCAUAAAAUCACAGCACAGCAUUGUGUAAUGAUCAAAUAUUUAUAGGAUAAAGAUGGGCAUGCGGAACAUUAGCUAGAUGGCGGGGUAACGGCCCACCAUGGCGACGAUGUUUAGGGGAUCUGAGAGGAUGGCCCCACACACUGGUACUGAGACACGGACCAGACUCCUACGGGAGGCAGCAGUAAGGAAUAUUGGUCAAUGGGCGGAAGCCUGAACCAGCCAUGCCGCGUGCAGGAAGACGGCCCUACGGGUUGUAAACUGCUUUUAUACGGGAAUAAACCCAGAUACGUGUAUCUGGCUGAAUGUACUGUAAGAAUAAGGAUCGGCUAACUCCGUG